GCAGCCGCGGUAAUACGGAGGGUGCGAGCGUUAAUCGGAAUUACUGGGCGUAAAGGGUGCGUAGGUGGUUGAAUAAGUUAUCUGUGAAAUCCCUGGGCUCAACCUGGGAAGGUCAGAUAAGACUGUUUGACUCGAGUAUGGGAGAGGGUAGUGGAAUUUCCGGUGUAGCGGUGAAAUGCGUAGAGAUCGGAAGGAACACCAGUGGCGAAGGCGGCUACCUGGCCUAAUACUGACACUGAAGCACGAAAGCGUGGGGAGCAAACAGGAUUAGAUACCCUGGUAGUCCACGCCGUAAACGAUGUCAA
rnacentral:rRNA from 1 species